rnacentral:antisense_RNA from 1 species
UUUUAUGGUCGGGCGCAAUGGGAGGCCUUCGGGCCUGCCGGUCCCUGUGAGCCGGUCUGUCAACCCGUUGUUGCCCGGCCACCCCG